UACGUAGGGGGCUAGCGUUGUCCGGAAUCAUUGGGCGUAAAGCGCGCGUAGGCGGCCCGGUAAGUCCGCUGUGAAAGUCAAAGGCUCAACCUUUGAAUGUCAGCGGAUACUGCCAGGCUAGAGUCCGGAAGAGGCGAGUGGAACUCCUGGUGUAGCGGUGAAAUGCGCAGAUAUCAGGAGGAACACCGGUGGCGAAGGCGGGUCUCUGGGCCGAUACUGACGCUGAGGAGCGAAAGCGUGGGGAGCGAACAGG
rnacentral:rRNA from 1 species